rnacentral:lncRNA from 1 species
CAAGUACUCCUCAGUGAACCCUUGCAUGCUAAUCUCACAGUCUCGGCCGGCUUCCCAGGAGCUGCACCUAAGACCAGGGAGAACUCUGACCUGGAAGACUGAAAAACUUUGUUCUACACCCUGUUUUGUUACUAGCUUGUUGUGUGACCUUAGGCAAGUCCCAGCUUCUCUCUGGGCCUUCAACUGCAAAAUGAGGCGAUUCUACCUGAAAGUUCCUUUCAACUGGGACUGUCCUUGAGUUGGGCUGAAACAGGAGCUCAGGGCAAGUCCACAAGAUCUGGUCUCUCAUGAGUAGGGACCAUGCAUUGCUGCUUGCCUGUGACGAUCUCAGACAAGGAAAUUGAGACUCAAAGAGGACCCCCAUGGAGGAAGUAAUGAAGCUUGAAUUUGGACACAGGCUCAUGUCCCUUUCACUUCCUCAGCCAGCCCAGGAAGUUUACAGCAUGCUCAUGCCACAAACCCUGGAGCUGGAUACCCACUCAAUUGGCUUGAAGACCUUGGAAAUCAGACUCCUCAGAGAGAGCACCAGCUGGCCCCUGGUUCUGGCAGAGAAGCCCUCAGUGACCCCUUUGACUUCUACGGUGGGAGAGCAGGUGAGACUCCACUCCAACCAUAGCUCCUGUUACCCGCUCAGGAGCAAACAAACCAGCCCAGAAGUCACAGGGCCGGAGUGAGGCCUUUUGAAGCACAGUGAGGUGAUGGAGAAGAGGAAUUGGGGCCCUGCGUUUCCCCAUCUUCCUGUUUUCCUAGCUUCAGCACAAAUGGCCUCAGCAGCGUGCUCCCUUCGGGGCCUGCUGGGUGAAUUUGGAAGACCAGACCUCUCACCCAAGCUCUGGUUGUCAUCACAGUGUGUGGCUCUGGAGGGGCCGCUCCCUCUCUAAGCCCUUCUUCCCCAUCUGAGGAAUGGAAGAUCAGCCCCCCAUGGAUUGCUAUGUGCCUUCCAGUUCUUGGAUCCCUUUGGCCCUGCCUUCUUCUCCCUCAUGUUUUC